rnacentral:lncRNA from 1 species
UUCCCUCUAAUUCCCUCGUACGUUUCACCACCGCUACUUUGCAAAACCCUAGAAAACUCUUCAGACCUUGAAUCCUAAUCCUAAUCUACUCUUCUUGGAUCGUCGCCACCCAAAAGUUGCCUGUAAAGAUUGUAUUCAUGAGCCACCCCUCUUUUGUUUUACGCAUAAAUCCUCCAUUCUAUGUUUUGAUCUGAAGCUAACUCAAUCCACAAUCAAGGUUUCAAAGAAGAAAUUUAUGGUUUCCAUUUCCCCAUCGAAUUCAUCGUUUCAAAUCUCUAAACCUCUGAUUCGUUGAACCCUAAAUAGUUCCUUCAUUCGCCAAACCCCAAAUCCUUCAUUCGCGAAACCCUAAAUCGUUUCGAUUUCCCUAUCGCUGUGUCUCCUCUUCCUUUACCAGUGAACCCUAAAUCCAUCUCCCCAAACCCUCUCAUCUUCCCCAGCAAUAUUCUGUCAGUAGAUCUAAAUCUGAACAAAUAUUGUAACGACUUGAGGGUUGCCAUGCUAGCGGCUAUGGUUCAUAUUCGAUAGCAAUCGUUGAUUUGGGUGAUCUACGAUCUACUUGAAAAAUCAUCUGGUCAUUUGGAACUCAGAGAGGACCUAGAGCAGGGGAUAGUUGUAGCUGGGCUAAGAUGUAUCAAGAUCAACUCAGCUGAUAAGAUUCUUGAGCUUUUCAAUGUUGGGAACAGUAGGCGCAAAAUUGACAACACAGAUGCGAACGAGACAUCAUCACGGUCUCGUGAACUUUUGGAAAUAACUGUGCUUAGAAAACAGAAAAGGAAAUACCAUAGUCAAGUUAUUUGUGGUAAACUCGCACUUGUGGAUCUUGCUGGGAGGAUUGUUUUCGAAGCCCUAGAUAUGGCAUACAUCUUCCUUCUCAAUGAAGCCUCUUAAAUCUAAACAUUCAAGCAUCAGGUACAAACAUCUCAUAAGAAAAUCCGUUGCAGUUUGAAGGUCUAUUGUAAACUUCACAAACAUCUCAUACGAAGAUUUGUCAGGCGAAAGCUGGGGCUGGUUCUGCAACAUUAUCAAUGACGUAUGCAGCAGUUAAGUUUGCAGAUCGCUGUCUCAAGGGCUUAAAAGGAGAUGCUGACAUUAUGGAGUGUGCUUUUAUAGAAUCUCGGGUUUGGUUUGGAAGAAGUUAAAAAAGAGUUGGCAGGAAGCAUUGAGAAAGGAGUUUGUACCUUAAAUAGAUGUAUCAGAAUACCUAUUUAUACAUGUGCAGGAACUAGAUGGAACCAAAAAUGAGCGGGGUUGGUGCAAGCAAAAGCUUGGCGCAAAUGCCAUUCUGGCGGUGUCUCUUACAGCUGCAAAGCGGGAGCGAGUGUCAAAAACAUUCCUCUUUACAAGACAUAUGAACUGUUGAAAAAAGGUCAGAAGACGCUUUAGAUAUAUUAUAUUGGGUUUUUUAAAAAGCUGAAAACUUGAGGAGAAAAUGGAAGUUGUAAAUGAACAAGAUUCUCAUCAUCCACUCCAUCCUGUUCGUGCUUCAACUCCUUAACAUAUAAACAGAUACACGGAGUUCACCAGCGGGAUUUGAUAAUGAAGUUUUAAAUGUUGAAUUUGAGAAAAUGGCUAAAGCUUUUGUGGUUGGAGUUUCCACAUAUUCACAAUCUUUGCCUCUUACGAGAAUGGGCAUGUUUAUGUAGGGAGCUUUUCGAACACGCUUUCUAUCUUUGAUAAUGGAAUUUUCUUCAAAAUGAACUCGACUUGAAUAGAUGAUGCUUAGGGACCGUGGUUGGUCAUGCAAGGCGUGAGGAAAAAAGCUUGUUUGUUUGGCAUUGAUAUAGGCUGAUCAACAGUUCGGUUAUAGAAAUGGCUUUUUUGACACAUGUGCAUAUGACAUCCAUCACUUUCAAAGCAUGACUUACAACCAGUUCUGCAUAAGAGCAUAGUACCAAAUCUUACUGGCCAGUCGGAGCGGAAAGUAGCUACACAAGUAGCCCAGUCAAGUACUCUUGAACCGCCUUCAUUUGGGCCAGUCGGUUCUGUGCUGGUUAUUGAACCGACGAACCGGAUUGAUGCAUUGCUGUGGCGUACGAACGACCACACCCAUGAAAGGAAGUCCCGGAUCUGGUGGUGACGCGACUAGGGUUCCGUCGUUGGAGCUGUGACUGUGGCGUACGAACGGGUAUUCAGGUCAACGGUGGUGGUUGUGGCAGCAAGAACAAAACAUAUUGUAUUGGACUUUGCUUCUGUUGCGGGUAAAAAAUGCACUUACGACGCCCUAUGAUUGAACCAGAAAGUUUGUUGGAGGGUAUUGACAACCUAUCAAAGUCAAAGACAAAGCACACAUGAAUCGGUUGAAAAGAAGGUGAAAGUCGGUUACAAGUGGGAUUGAAAGUUUUGUGUAUAUAUAUAUAUAUCUAUUAUAUAUAUGCACCCUGCGUAAAAGCCUUGAUGGGGGGAACUCGAAGUAAUUCUGAAUAUUCUUAUUUUUGUGAUCAAUAAUGCUAUACAUCAUUGCCGGUAUUUGUGGGUUUACUAUUGUGAUUGAAAAUACCAGUUUUUAACUGUCUCCAGUUGGAAACAUACCAUAUUGAUAGGCAGGCUCCUGAAGACCCAAUACCCGACUCGACGCCUGACCCACGACCCGACCCGACCGGAGUCACAUGGGAAGCACAUGGUUCAAUUGGAUUUAGUCAAUUUCUGUCAACAUUUGAUCACAAGCAGUACCCACGUUUUCUACAUAUCAAUCAAGAGUUAUUUUAUUUCCAUGUCAAUUUUAAUCUCUUUCUUAUUUUCGUUUAUUUUGAAUUAGUCUAGAACAGUUAUUUAUGUUUCCCUAAAUGUAGCUACGUGGGUGGUUGUAUCCCCUUUCUUCCAUAUGUAUUGAACAAUUCAUGAAUGAGAAGGGCAGUGAGUUUUAGAAUGAAAAUCUUUGUGU